ACCAUUGUGAUCUAAAAAAGUCUCUGUUAUAAGCCAUGAACCAAACCAACAAGAUAUGAGAUAAAUGACAACUUUUUCAACAAUUUCAUACUUCAAUUUUUGGUUUGAAGCAAAAAAGAAAUAUAAAAAUUUUAGACUGGACAAAAAGACAAAGGUGUAGAUGUAAAGAACUACAAUCCCAUGAAGCACUGCAAAUGACAGACGCAU